GUGGGGAAUAUUGCGCAAUGGGGGAAACUCUGACGCAGCAACGCCGUGUGAGUGAUGAAGGCCUUCGGGUCGUAAAGCUCUGUCAGAUGGGAAGAAUCGGUCUGUUGCUAAUAUCAGCAGACCUUGACGUUACCAUCAAAGGAAGCACCGGCCAACUCCGUGCCAGCAGCCGCGGUAAUACGGAGGGUGCAAGCGUUGUUCGGAAUUACUGGGCGUAAAGCGCGUGUAGGUUGUGAAAUAAGUCGGGUGUGAAAGCCCACGGCUUAACCGUGGAAGUGCACUCGAAACUAUUUUGCUAGAGUGCGGGAGGGGGAGGUGGAAUUCCCAGUGUAGAGGUGAAAUUCGUAGAUAUUGGGAGGAACACCGGUGGCGAAGGCGGCCUCCUGGCCCGUUACUGACGCUGAUACGCGAAAGCGUGGGGAGCAAACAGGAUUAGAUACCCUGGUAGUCC
rnacentral:rRNA from 1 species